AUGCGGUUCUGACAGUGUCAUGGGUCACAGUAGUGGCCUGCUUGAUGUGGUCAGUUUUUGACCCAAGGUGGAGCAGUGGUCGUUACUUCCUCCAGGGCACCCAUCACCAUGACAUUUAGGGGACUUAUAGCAGCUUCCCUCCCCACAUGGUGAGGUUGGUUUCUUGGUGAGAUGUUGUGGCUGGAUAUAGAGGUUCUGAAAAGGAACAGCUAGAAAGAUAAGGCAGCAGCAGGAACCUCCCAUCAUCUCCUCCAGAUGUGCAAGACACGUGACAAAUUUCAGGACAAGUGGCUGUGAACAGCCGAAGACAAGACUGCUAUGGUAAACAGAACACAUUCUUUGGCUGGCUGAUGUCCUGGGAGGGAGACAUAGAUGGUCUUUCCAAAGAACAGAGAAACAGACAUAGAGUUCAAGCAGGGAGACAGUGGGCUGGAGAAUUUCAGCAAAUGCAUUUCUCUGGAAUUAUGUGACGAGCUGCUGGCAGACCAAGAGGUCUGUUUUAUACUGAGUGAGAGAGAGAGAGAGAGCUGCCAAAACCAUCCAGAACAAGACUUCCAAACACGGCAGAUCCAGUGGAGCCAGUUAUAUGGAACAGUACAAUUGCACAACAAGUUCCAGGUAACACAAAGU